AAUAGCCCCGUACCAAGUAUUGAAACUUCUCCACUCAAAAGAUACCCAAUACUUUUUGUUCCCAGAUCUAGAAAAAAAAAAAAAAAAAAAAAAGACUAUUUGUUUAGUUGGUGGUAACAACUAAAUGCUUCCAUUUACAUGAUGGGUAUUAAAUGAAGUAGGAAAAAAAA